rnacentral:rRNA from 1 species
AGUGAACGCUGGCGGUAGGCCUAACACAUGCAAGUCGAACGGCAGCACAGUAAGAGCUUGCUCUUACGGGUGGCGAGUGGCGGACGGGUGAGGAAUACAUCGGAAUCUACUUUUUCGUGGGGGAUAACGUAGGGAAACUUACGCUAAUACCGCAUACGACCUACGGGUGAAAGCAGGGGAUCUUCGGACCUUGCGCGAUUGAAUGAGCCGAUGUCGGAUUAGCUAGUUGGCGGGGUAAAGGCCCACCAAGGCGACGCUCCGUAGCUGGUCUGAGAGGAUGAUCAGCCACACUGGAACUGAGACACGGUCCAGGCUCCUACGGGAGGCAGCAGUGGGGAAUAUUGGACAAUGGGCGCAAGCCUGAUCCAGCCAUACCGCGUGGGUGAAGAAGGCCUUCGGGUUGUAAAGCCCUUUUGUUGGGAAAGAAAAGCAGCAGGUUAAUACCCCGCUGUUCUGACGGUACCCAAAGAAUAAGCACCGGCUAACUUCGU